UACGUAGGGCGCAAGCGUUGUCCGGAAUUAUUGGGCGUAAAGAGCUCGUAGGCGGUCUGUCGCGUCUGUUGUGAAAACUCGAGGCUCAACCUCGGGCUUGCAGUGGAUACGGGCAGACUAGAGUGCGGUAGGGGAGACUGGAAUUCCUGGUGUAGCGGUGGAAUGCGCAGAUAUCAGGAGGAACACCGAUGGCGAAGGCAGGUCUCUGGGCCGCAACUGACGCUGAGGCGCGAAGGCGUGGGGAGCGAACAGG
rnacentral:rRNA from 1 species